rnacentral:rRNA from 1 species
AACGAACGCUGGCGGCAGGCCUAACACAUGCAAGUCGAGCGAGGACUUCGGUCCUAGCGGCGGACGGGUGAGUAACGCGUGGGAACGUGCCCUUUGCUUCGGAAUAGCCCUGGGAAACUGGGAGUAAUACCGGAUGAGCCCUUUGGGGGAAAGAUUUAUCGGCGAAGGAUCGGCCCGCGUUGGAUUAGGUAGUUGGUGGGGUAAUGGCAUACCAAGCCGACGAUCCAUAGCUGGUUUGAUAGGAUGAUCAGCCACACUGGGACUGAGACACGGCCCAGACUCCUACGGGAGGCAGCGGUGGGGAAUAUUAGACAAUGGGGGAAACCCUGAUAUAGCCAUGCCGCGUGAGAGAUGAAGGCCUUAGGGUUGUAAAGCUCUUUCAGCUGGGAAGAUAAUGACGGUACCAGCAGAAGAAGCCCCGGCUAACUCCGUG